UCCGUAGGGGGCAAGCGUUGUCCGGAAUCAUUGGGCGUAAAGAGCGUGUAGGCGGCUCGAUAAGUCCGCUCUGAAAGCCCGGGGCUCAACCCCGGAAUUGCCUUUGAGACUGCAUCGCUAGAAUUGUGGAGAGGUAAGUGGAAUUCCGAGUGUAGAGGUGAAAUUCGUAGAUAUUCGGAAGAACACCAGUGGCGAAGGCGACUUACUGGACACAUAUUGACGCUGAGGUGCGAAAGCGUGGGGAGCAAACAGG
rnacentral:rRNA from 1 species